rnacentral:rRNA from 1 species
UGGGGAAUAUUGCACAAUGGGCGCAAGCCUGAUGCAGCCAUGCCGCGUGUAUGAAGAAGGCCUUCGGGUUGUAAAGUACUUUCAGUCGGGAGGAAGGUGUCAAGGUUAAUAACCUUGGCAAUUGACGUUACCGACAGAAGAAGCACCGGCUAACUCCGUGCCAGCAGCCGCGGUAAUACGGAGGGUGCAAGCGUUAAUCGGAAUUACUGGGCGUAAAGCGCACGCAGGCGGUUGAUUGAGUCAGAUGUGAAAUCCCCGGGCUUAACCCGGGAAUUGCAUCUGAUACUGGUCAGCUAGAGUCUUGUAGAGUGGGGUAGAAUUCCAUGUGUAGCGGUGAAAUGCGUAGAGAUGUGGAGGAAUACCGGUGGCGAAGGCGGCCCCCUGGACAAAGCCUGACGCUCAGGUGCGAAAGCGUGCGGAGCAAACAGG